UGUGUAGGCGGGCUAGUAAGUCAGUGGUGAAAUCUCCGGGCUCAACCCGGAAACUGCCAUUGAUACUAUUAGUCUUGAAUUUUGUUGAGGUUGGCGGAAUAAGUCAUGUAGCGGUGAAAUGCAUAGAUAUGACUUAGAACACCGAUUGCGAAGGCAGCUAACUAAGCAAAUAUUGACGCUGAGGCACGAAAGCGUGGGGAUCAAACAGGAUUAGAUACCCUGGUAGUCCACGCCCUAAACGAUGAUUACUCGACAUACGCGAUACACAGUGUGUGUCUGAGCGAAAGCAUUAAGUAAUCCACCUGGGAAGUACGUCCGCAAGGAUGAA
rnacentral:rRNA from 1 species